rnacentral:lncRNA from 1 species
AUAUAUUCACUCGACCCCUGUUAGUGCUGUGCAUCAGCCUGUUUUAUCUGCUUCAGAAUCAAGUGUUUAUAUGAAUUCACUUGGUGUUAGUGCCCUUCAGCAGUCUCUUCAAUCUGUAUCUGGAGCUAACUCAACUGGCAGUAUCCUCCAGCAGCCUCUUCAGUCAGUAUCUGGCGUUAACUCAACUGGCAGUAUCCUCCAGCAGCCUCUUCAGUCAGUAUCUGGCGUUAACUCAACUGGCAGUAUCCUCCAGCAGCCUCUUCAAUCAGCAUCUGGCGCUAACUCAACUGCAAGUAUUCUCCAGCAGCCUCUGCAACACGUCAAUCCUACUUCAAAAUGGGUUAUGAAUCAAGAAACCUUCUUCUCUGAUGGGCUGAAUAAUAUGAGAAUUACUGAUGGCGG